UGCCUCUCAGGGUUGCACCUGAAAAGUUUCCAGUCCUCUACCAUUCUCAACUAUGGGAGGGAGAGUCAAGCAGAGGCAUGCCCAUUCCAUUCCUAGCUUGGUUAGUGGCUAGUGAGUGGAAGACAAUCUGCUACAAUU